rnacentral:rRNA from 1 species
UGGUGGAGUGAUUUGUCUGGUUAAUUCCGAUAACGAACGAGACCUUUACCUGCUAAAUAGUGACAUCCACCUCAUGUGUGGGUGCUUUCACUUCUUAGAGGGACUGUGAGCGUUCAGCUCACGGAAGUUGGAGGCAAUAACA